CUGUGAAGUUUCCAGGAGGAUGGAGAGUGGAGCAGGUUAUAUGCAGACACUGUAUCACUUUAUCUAAGAUCUCAGUGUCCUGAGAGAAAGGAUGGAACCAGCCUCAUGGGUACCAAGACAGGGGACAGUCUUCAUCCAGACCACCAGCCUGCCUUGUUCAUGUGGAACGUGGGAAGAACCACCUCUUGCUGCAGUGUUAGCUGAGGACAUUCAUGGUCACAUCGGUCACCUUGUCACAUUCUCUAGGUUGGACAACACAUCAGCUUCUGUGACUCCAACUACGCCACAGAGAAUGAGCCAGUGGACAGUCUCCAUGCAUCUUCUUCUCUUCUUCGUUCAGAGGUGGUAUGGCUUGCCUGGGAAUACCUGAAAAGGGUGGGAGCACCCCAUGUCUUCCUUUAUGGUCAAAGCUGUCCUUUGGAUGAAGGGAAGGGACAUCUUUACCUUCUUUUUGGCAGUGCUGGGGAUGGAACCUGCAGCUUCGUGCACAUUAGGCAGGUGCUGUGCUGCUGAGCUGUAUCCUCAGCCCCUUGGUGCCAUCUCAAUGGGGAAGUCCUUCAUCUUCCCUCGGCUGCUGGUAUUUCCAGAGGACAGAAAUCCAGGAAAGAGGGAGGCUUGGUGACUUGGGUGGGAAUCUUCCCAAGAGACUUCCACCUGACUAGAGAUGGCCAGUGUAUGGGAGAUGCAGGUCCUACCAGGUGGCAGGAGAGUGAGGUCUGAGGCAGGGGUCUUCUAGGGUGACCUUUUAUAUCUGGGUAAUUUGUCUAGUCAGGUAGUGGAGAAUGGGAGGUGACUGUGCAGCCAGGACCUGCCCUUCUGGUUCCAAGCCCGUGGGAGUGGGCUUGGCAUUAUUCUAGGUGAUACAAAUCAACUAGACUCUGUUUGCUGUCUGUGAGGACUCCGCUGGCCUUGGGGUGGGGCUAGCUCUGGAUUGUGCGUAGUGACAUUUAGGCUGUCUGUCUGUCUUCUUCCGGUCAGUCUUAAGAGAGGCAGUCUGGCUUUGGUCUAGGUCUUUGGGGGAGUGUCCUAGCUGGCUCUGUGGAAGGUAGUGUGGGAGUGGGGAACAUCUCUGGAUGCUUCAGUGUCUCCGGGUGCACAGAGACAGCAGUGACCCCUCCAGAACAGUGGCCACUCUGCCUAGCUGUGAAUGGCAGGAAGGUGGGUUCCUUCUGAGCUGCUGCAGGCAACAGCUGGUGUGUGACCCUGCAGCUUCUCUAGUCUACUGCAGUGACAGAACAGGCCCGCGGCUCCAGGUGCAGGCUUCUCAAUCUGCCAGAGUCCCUGGGUGACGGUAUGGAGCAGAGCCCUCCUCAGCAUCAAGGCGGUGGAGCAAGGGUCUCAGAGGCAAGACACCAAUGACCUUGAGGAGCCUGGAGCUUCCUGGGGUGAUGAAGACAGAAAAAAAAAACACACCUCCGUGGUAUAGAAACAUAUGGCAAACAUAUCAUAAGAGGAUUCUCCAGAAGCCUGGGACUAUUCAGGAAAGGGAUUUGGGUCAGGCAGGUGUUGGAGAGGAUGAAGCAUUGGGACCCACUUAGGUUGGUAAGGCUGUGUAGAUCUUGACUCUAGAUUUUGGGAGACUCUUCCUAAGACACACAAUGGGCUGGAGGGAAGGGGUGAAAUUACCAAAUGCAAUUCCAUCAGGAGGUUGAAACAGAAAGGCAAUUACAGGCUCAGCUCAGCCCUGUCACCCGGCAGGUGCCAGUCCCUGGGACCAUUUAUGGAAGGUUCUCCACUGAUGAGGGUGCUCUUGUCUGUGCCUGGUGUGUGAGGCAGAAACACCCCCACCUUUCUCCAGCUCCAUACUCCCCUGAGGACUCCCCUUCUGCACAUGGUGGGCUUGGGCCUUUGCACCCGAGAGGGGUGCUGCCUGUCAGCCAGGAAGACAUGUUCACAGCGUGCCGUGCUGUGGCCCCACAGAGGCCUGGUUCCAAGAGGAUUGAAAAUGUAAUCACAACAGUUUUUAUUAGCAAAAGAACAGCAGGGUCCCUUCUGCUGUCCAUAUGGAGAGAUCCCGAUGGGUAUUCAUGAAGCAGUUUGCCACGGGAACAGCCGUGCUUAAAACUCCUCGUCCAAUUACCUUUGAACUUGCCUUUUUUUUUGCUGCUGCUGUUGCUGCUGCUGCUGUUGCUGCUGCUGCAUGCAUGCAUGCAUGCAAAAUGUCUCACGUUUUGUUUCUACCAGAGAGGGGGAGGAGCCUGUCUUCCUCUGUGUGGGGUUACACUGUUCUACUCAGCCUCACGUGUCCUGUAUAAAACCAUCCAGCUGACUGGGUCAAAUCACAGCUCCUGGCAAGGCCUCUCAGGACUGUUGGGACGCCGGUGACAGGCUGAAGAGCUUAUUGGUUGGUGCAUUGCUUCCUGGUGCAUGCUGUCUCACUAUAGGACAAUUGUGACCAUCAUACCCUGGAAUCUCAGAGUCUUUCCUGAUUCAAAAUACUCCUUUCCAUUCAUCCUAGUGUACCAAGGGGUACAUAGCAACAACAGACUAGAUUCUUGGAGAGACAGUAGCUUUUUUUGUUUUGUUUUGUUUUGUUGUUUUUGUUUCUAGAGGGAAAGAAUAAACUAGAAGCAAGGUUAAAACAGAAGCAUGUCCCUUCAGCAUGUGAUCAGUGCCAAACUUUGAACUUCAUUGUCUUGAAGAGGACAGAGAAAGGGGCUCAUACAGUCUGAAGCCAGCACCCUGAGUCCAUGACCACCCACAGCUGGAGGAGCAUCCAGCCAGGCAAAUGCCACUUGAUCAUAGGGUGUUAGGACUGGGCACAUCUGUCCUGGCACCCAGCUGUGGGAAGUCAAAAGGACAGCGGCCAUUGUGCCUGCUGCACUGACCACCUUCUAGCCAGAGGUCUUUUCCUUGGGGGGUUCCAUGCUCUCCUGCUUUUAGGGACAGGGGACAUUUUAAGCAGGUUUUCUUCCUCUGCUCCGGGGGAUGUGGUGAACCCAACAUUGAUCUACUUGGAAUGGGUCUACUUAGGGUGAGAAGGGGCUGACUGGGGUCUUUGUGCUCUCUUUAUAUGCAGGGCUUCCUUUCAAGCAGGGGACGUGAGUUCUGGAGGCCUGCAUAGUCACCCAGGGUCACCUGGGACAAAGAUGUUGAGAACAUCACCAUUUGGACCCAACAGUGUUCAAGUGACAUCAUCUCUACCCCUUUGACCCCAAAUCGACAGCCUUUCUUUUGUACUUAGGUUGCCGAGGGAAACUUUCAGGCUAAAGAUUCAGCUAGAUGAUUCUCUUUCCCAAGAGCUAGUAGUUCUCUCCUCCUGCUUUUUUGUUUUCUUUCUGUUUUUAAUAUAUCACUUACAGCUUCCCCUUCCCGGCCAGGGCAGGCCUUCUCACAUGGCUGGAGGGUAGUUAGCCUCUUCCCCUGGUGUGGUGGCCCAUUUGGUCAUGUCAGAUGGAGCUGUCCACAAUCCUGGCUCAAGGGAGCGCCUCAUUAGAUCAUGCUAAUGAUCCCGUGGCAUGUAUUUCCAGGCUUUCUCUGCUUCCCAUCACUGAAGACAGAACCACCUCAGGUGGGCUUUGGAGUCAAACAGCCCUGGAUGCUUCUGCCACUGUCAUUUCUAGCAGUGAGAACUGAAUUUUUAGCAAGGUAUGAAGCCAAUCAGUGAAAGGGCAGGUGGUCUUUUGAAAACAUGUGAUGGUGGAGUAACAGAGUACCCAUAUCCACAAAUUAAGAUUUGACCUCUAACUUGAAUAAUUAGGCAAACAUCAGGUCAAAGUGGAUGCUAAAUCUAAAUGUAAAACCAAGAAAAUAUUAACGGCCGUGGUUUAGGCAAAGUCCUCAAAUAUAAUGCCAGGAACACAAUCCACCAAAUGGAAAUAUCAACAAAUUGGACUUUAUUUAAUUAAAAUCACCUUUUAGUCAUUGAGUGAUCCUGUCAAGAGAAUAAAAAGAUGAGCCACAAGGCUGGAAGGCAAUGUGUAUAAUUUGUGUGUUUGAUG